ACCAUUCCUUCGGGAAUGGGGACAGCGGCGAACGGGUGAGUAACACGUGGGUAAUCUGCCCUCGAUUCUGGGAUAGCCCGGGGAAACCCGGAUUAAUACCGGAUAGCCUUUCGAGCUUUCGAGCUCGGAAGAAAAGGUAGCUUCGGCCUCCGAUCGAGGAUGAGCCCGCGGCGGAUUAGCUUGUUGGUGGGGUAAUGGCCUACCAAGGCAACGAUCCGUAGCUGGUCUGAGAGGACGAUCAGCCACACUGGGACUGAGACACGGCCCAGACUCCUACGGGAGGCAGCAGUGGGGAAUCUUGCGCAAUGGGCGAAAGCCUGACGCAGCGACGCCGCGUGGGGGAAGAAGGCCUUCGGG
rnacentral:rRNA from 1 species